rnacentral:lncRNA from 1 species
AAAAAAAAAUAUUCAGAAAUGGUUAGGGUGGAAGAGAGGAUUCAGAGAUUCGGGAAUUAGGGAGGUUAAGAAAAAGGGAGGAUACAAGGUUUUUGGGUAGGGGUCAGAAAAGGGACUUCUGGUGAUCAAUGCUGAAAGGUUGAUGUGUUGUACUGGUGAAUCGGAGUUUUAAUGAAGUGGGUGUGAUUACUCUUGACUAUUUUGUGAAAUCGAAGUUACAUCUGUGAUUGAAGAAUUAAAAGGAUAUCUAUAGGAUUGAGUAUGCGGAGUGAAUGAAAAUAUUUGGAUUAAUCUAACAAGACAGUCAGUGGAUACAAGGUCGUAAGUAUAAAGCGGUAUCAAAGAUUAGCAGAUUGGAUUGUUCGGGGUUCUCUGUAACGUCUAGAGACCUAUCGACUGGAACAAAAAGAAUUUCGACGAGCAAUCGAAGGACAUCCGUAUAGAUUUACGGUAUAUUCUUACAAUCGUUUAUAUUCCAACAGUCAAAAACUGAUAGACUGCUUGAAUAUUACCGAAUCUCCAUACUACCUUCUACAGCCAGACACCCGGUGCAUUCUCGAGUAGGAAAGCACAUAAUAUGACAUAAGUGGUGAACCCGACGUGAAAGCUUGAGGUGGAAGGUAUUGGAUUUUGUUUGAUUUUAUUUU